AACGUUGAAGCACUGGUUUCCGUACGAUCACCAAAGUUAAGAAACGUCGAGCCUGGUUAGUAUCUAGAUGGGGACUUCUUGGAAUACCAGGUGCU